rnacentral:rRNA from 1 species
GACGAACGCUGGCGGCGUGCUUAACACAUGCAAGUCGAACGGAAAGGCCUCUUUCGGGGGGUACUCGAGUGGCGAACGGGUGGGUAACACGUGAGUAACCUGCCCUUGACUUUGGGAUAACUUCAGGAAACUGGGGCUAAUACCGGAUAGGAGCUCCUGCUGCAUGGUGGGGGUUGGAAAGUUUCGGCGGUUGGGGAUGGACUCGCGGCUUAUCAGCUUGUUGGUGGGGUAGUGGCUUACCAAGGCUUUGACGGGUAGCCGGCCUGAGAGGGUGACCGGCCACAUUGGGACUGAGAUACGGCCCAGACUCCUACGGGAGGCAGCAGUGGGGAAUAUUGCACAAUGGGUGGAAGCCCGAUGCAGCAACGCCGUGUGCGGGAUGACGGCCUUCGGGUUGUAAACCGCUUUCGCUCGUGACGAAGCUUUGUGUGACGGUAGUGGGUAAAGAAGCACCGGCUAACUACGUG